rnacentral:rRNA from 1 species
AACGGACAUCUCGGCUGAAGCACAGAAUAAGAAGAACCAUAAAGUCUAUAAAUGCAAGUAAUUGUAGAAUCCAUUGAACCAAGGAGUCUUUG